AAAUUCAGCAUAGACAACGUUCUAUAAUAUAAUAGUGUUAUUUGACGUGUAUCUUUUUGACACACAAAGACCCAGACGGCGUUCCAUAUUAUUUGACGCAUCGUAUCUUUUUUGACACACAAGAGCACAAACGGCGUUCCAUAUAUACAAUAUAAUGCGUGCACGUCUAGUCUGGCAGGAAUUCGACCUUACACUUCACUGUUCCAUUACCAGACAGCAACAUCUGAAAACACAUCAUUUGAGAGUUGAGAGCAAUUAUAGCGGCAAAUACUUACAGCGCGUUUCUGCCCUCUUGUGGCAGUAGCGUAGUAGAUAGUCAGCGGCAGCCAAACGUGUUAUAUGUUUUUUCCAACCGAUAGACCUUAACGUUUGCUCAGCGAUCUAAUACAGCCCAGCCCAACUCCGGACUUGGUCCCUUUCCCAGCUCUCUAAAGCGUUUCUUCUCCCACGGUAUAGCUGACAAGCCUCCAUACAUUCCUGGCUGGCUUCUCCUAGAAACAUCUCACCAGCAACAGCUCCAGCUCUCCUGGCCUGGCCUGAUGAUGCUACAUUACACCCCAGGGCUACAUCUCUGAGCCUUCCAGCAUAGCCCCACUGCUAUGGCUCUGAAAAAAAGACACAGAAAACAAAAUUAUGAACUGUGCACCUUCU